rnacentral:rRNA from 1 species
UACGAAGGGGGCUAGCGUUGCUCGGAAUCACUGGGCGUAAAGCGCACGUAGGCCGAUUGUUAAGUCAGGGGUGAAAUCCUGGAGCUCAACUCCAGAACUGCCUUUGAUACUGAGGAUCUUGAGUCCGGGAGAGGUGAGUGGAACUGCGAGUGUAGAGGUGAAAUUCGUAGAUAUUCGCAAGAACACCAGUGGCGAAGGCGGCUCACUGGCCCGGUACUGACGCUGAGGCACGAAGCGUGGGGAGCAAACAGG